rnacentral:lncRNA from 1 species
CCAAAUCACAUUAACGUACAAAUAUAUUAAUUUGAAUAUUGUUGUUCCAUAGAAUAGAAGAUAGAGAACUAUAAGUGUAAGCAACUAUAAGUAUAUAUAUACCUUAAAACAUAUACCCAUCUUUUUUACAAAACAAAGAAGGCAAACAUCAAUAUCAUAAAUAAAAUUACAUAUGAGAGUAAUUUUUUGAAUAUCUACUUUCUCGGGGACUAUAGCAACAGAUUUAUGAUUCUCUUUUUCAAAUAGAGAUGCAUCUACUCCAUCACCAACACAACCAUCCGGCUUUCGGCUUUAGAGGCACGAAGCUUUUAACUACAUGCUGCUUAUCUUCACCUAGAAUUUCAUCACACCACUUCACUUGGAAUUUCAUGUUUCUUAUCUUCACCUAGAAUUUCAUCGCAUCACUUCACUUAAAAUUUCAUGCUUCUUAUAUUCACUUAGAAUUUCAUCGCAUCACUUCACCUAAAAUUUCAUCACACCACUUUAGAUAUCCUCAUCCAGUCUCAUCCUAACAGUUAACACCAAUAUGCUUUUACAUUAUGUUAAUGAAUGAAAAGUAUAUGAAAAAAAAAGAAAAAAGGUAGGAAUGUUUUAUGAGCUAAAAAAAAUAAAAAAAUUUCAUUUUAAAACAUAGUGACAACAAGACAUCAAGAUGAUGUCAAACAUUGUGAAAUUGGAAUCAAAGGACAACAAGAUUGUCAAAGUUGCCAAUGGGAGAAAGAAUGCAAGCCUAAAAUCAAAUCUUUUAUGCAUGUUCAACAGAGAACUUAUGAUACUCAUGUGGCAAAUAAAUCUAUUGCUAACUUUUUCAAUUUUAACAGAGAACUUGUAGCCCAAAUGAUUUUUGAGUCUUAUACAGAGGACAAAAACCCAACUUUCUAGACCAUCAACAAUCAAGUUAGGUCCUGUGCCUAUAGAUGUCUCACUAAGAAGAAAAGGAGGGUCAACGAAGUCCCAGGUAACCUUGUCGAAGAAAAUUUGCACGGGGUCAAUUGAUUCAUCAAAUAUCAAUCCUGAACCAUAAAAACAUAAUAUCAAAGUCAAAAAGGAAAAUGACACAAACAAAGGUGUGUAUCUUUCAGCAACAAGUAAUUUCAGUCAAAUUAACGAAUUCUAAUCUAUUGCUAACUUUUUCAAUUUUUUCUAGCCCAAAAACUGGACUUUUCCUACGCAAUAUUGGGAUGCCAAUUUUUAUACUUCGGUUUGGAAAUCCAUCAAACACUUCAAAUUCAACCUCCUCCUCUACAAAAUUUUGAAAUAAUUUCCCAUUUUUAAAUUUUCAAUUUAUCCUACCAAAAUGAUGAUCUAAUUGACUUAUUUAUGAUCCAAUAAAUUGCAGAGAAAAAUCAGCAAUUGCACAGAAAAAUCAGUCAAUAUAAUUCAAGAAACUCUCAAUGGAACACUCUCCAAACUAAGAUCAAUCAAAUAUGAAUAAAUCCUUCAAACUGUAGAAUCAAUCUAAACUACCUGGCUGUAAAUGAAGCAAGAAGAAGGGGCUUGAGGAGGGCCAGAAAUCAUGGAGGAUUUCUUUCACUAAAGCCUAUCAAAUAAGAGAGAGAGUACCUUUAGAGAUGGGCUUCAAUGGUUGAACAGAGAGAGGAAGUUCCACCAUGUAGAGAGAUAAAGUUGGGUUUUCCUGCUACAGAGAGAGAGAGGGAGGACUACCACCAAAAGAGAGAGAGGGAGUUCCACCGUGUAGAGAGAGAAAAAGUUCGGGUUUUUCUACUGCACUGAGAGAGAGGGACGACCGUCGCAUAGAGAGAGGAGUUCCUCUGUGUAGAGAGAGAAAGUUCGGUUUUUCUGCUGCAUAGAGAGAGAAGGAGAACCACAGCGUAGAGAGAGAGAGGGAGUUCCACUGUGUAGCAAGAGAGUGGCAGGGAAGAAGACAACCAGGAGAGAGAGAGGGCACGUUGUUUUCGUAAAGAGAGAAGAGAAGGCGCGUUGUUUCUGGAAGAGAGAGAGAGAAUCGUGCAUAGGAGUACUCAUUCACUACACUGUCG